CCAGGUGGCUGCAACUGUUUAUUAAAAACACAGCACUGUGCAAAAUCGUAAGAUGACGUAUACGGUGUGACGCCUGCCCGGUGCCGGAAGGUUAAUUGAUGGGGUUAGCGUAAGCGAAGCUCUUGAUCGAAGCCCCGGUAAACGGCGGCCGUAACUAUAACGGUCCUAAGGUAGCGAAAUUCCUUGUCGGGUAAGUUCCGACCUGCACGAAUGGCGUAAUGAUGGCCACGCUGUCUCCACCCGAGACUCAGUGAAAUUGAAAUCGCUGUGAAGAUGCAGUGUACCCGCGGCUAGACGGAAAGACCCCGUGAACCUUUACUACAGCUUGGCACUGAACAUUGAACCUACAUGUGUAGGAUAGGUGGGAGGCUUUGAAGACGUGACGCCAGUUGCGUUGGAGCCGUCCUUGAAAUACCACCCUUGUAUGUUUGAUGUUCUAACGUUGGCCCCUAAUCGGGGUUGCGGACAGUGCCUGGUGGGUAGUUUGACUGGGGCGGUCUCCUCCCAAAGAGUAACGGAGGAGCACGAAGGUGGGCUAAUCACGGUUGGACAUCGUGAGGUUAGUGCAAUGGCAUAAGCCCGCUUAACUGCGAGAAUGACGGUUCGAGCAGGUGCGAAAGCAGGUCAUAGUGAUCCGGUGGUUCUGAAUGGAAGGGCCAUCGCUCAACGGAUAAAAGGUACUCCGGGGAUAACAGGCUGAUACCGCCCAAGAGUUCAUAUCGACGGCGGUGUUUGGCACCUCGAUGUCGGCUCAUCACAUCCUGGGGCUGAAGUCGGUCCCAAGGGUAUGGCUGUUCGCCAUUUAAAGUGGUACGCGAGCUGGGUUUAGAACGUCGUGAGACAGUUCGGUCCCUAUCUGCCGUGGGCGUUGGAAGAUUGAAGGGGGCUGCUCCUAGUACGAGAGGACCGGAGUGGACGAACCUCUGGUGUUCGGGUUGUGUCGCCAGACGCAUUGCCCGGUAGCUAAGUUCGGAAUCGAUAACCGCUGAAAGCAUCUAAGCGGGAAGCGAGCCCUGAGAUGAGUCUU
rnacentral:rRNA from 1 species